GACAGAGGUGCCAAGCGUUAGGCGGAAUCACUGGGCUUAAGGCGCGUGUAGGUGGCGGCCUAAGUACCUUGUGAAAUCCUGCGGCUCAACCGCAGAACUGCUUGGUAUACUGGGUCGCUUGAGCCAUCCAGGGGCAACUGGAACAAGCGGUGGAGCGGUGAAAUGCGUAGAUAUCGCUUGGAACGCCAAAGGUGAAAACAGGUUGCUGGGGAUGCGCUGACACUGAGACGCGAAAGCCAGGGGAGCGAACGGG
rnacentral:rRNA from 1 species